rnacentral:rRNA from 1 species
UACGUAGGGGGGCUAGCGUUGUCCGGAUUUAUUGGGCGUAAAGAGCGUGUAGGCGCCAGGUAGGUCUGCUGUGAAACUCGAGGCUCAACCUCGAGACGUCGGCGGAAACCAUCUGGCUAGAGUCCGGAAGAGGAGAGUGGAAUUCCUGGUGUAGCGGUGAAUGCGCAGAUAUCAGGAAGAACACCCGUGGCGAAGGCGGCUCUCUGGGACGGUACUGACGCUGAG